GCUGUCUGUGAUGUCAUUUUAUUACCUUACCUACCUUGUUUGAACAAUGACCAUGAAAAGAAAAAAAUAUCUGAGACAUGC